rnacentral:lncRNA from 1 species
GUGCGUUCCGGGGGCGUUGCUACAAAGCUCACACAGAAAGACCACGCCAGGGCCCACCCUCCUUGGUGCUUCCUGCCUCCGCGGUGGUGACCGGAGAGAAGGGGCUUGGACUCACGGACCCUGCUUAGUUAGCACUUCACCUGGUGUUGAGCCUGGCGCCCCGCCUGACCACUUCCAAGAUCUGGGCUGGCCUCUGUGCAGAGGAAGCUGAGACCACCCUUCGCCCACCACGGAGACCCUGAUGACGCACCCCAGGCCACCAGGCCAGUGCCUUCACGGGACCAACCAGGGGCCCGGGCUCCCUCCGGAGGCGCGUUCCAGCCCCUCCCCGUUUCCAUGGCUACCAGCAGCGGCGUCCACACCUCUGCCCCCGGUCCCACCCGAGCUGACGGUACCGGGAGCCCGGGCAGGGCCCCUCGCCCCCUAGCCCUGCCACUAACGUGGGGUGGGGGCCCUCGUGGGGGACCGAGAACAGGCGGUGAGGGCGCGGGAAGGGGCGCCUCCUGUACCCCCGGCCCCGCCGCUCGCCUCCGCUCCCGGAUGCCGGGCCCAGACCCGCGCUCGGGGCGCUCGGCCUUUGUCCGGCCAGGUGCGGCCGCGCUCACCCGGGCUGGGGCGCUCGGGCUCGGGGCCCUCGGGGGUGCCCGGAGCCUCCGUCCGCUCGGCAGUCUCGUCCCCGCCGCCGUCGGCGUGAGCCUCCACGGGCACCACGGUGAAGUUGGUGGGCAUGGCCGCCUGCAGCCCACAGUCCCCGUCCCGGCCCGGCCCGCGCUGCGCCGCUCCCGCCGACGCCACGGGACUUGGAGGC